GAUGAACGCUGGCGGCGUGCCUAAUACAUGCAAGUCGAGCGAAGAGACGAGAGUGCUUUCGCUCUCUGGCGUGAGCGGCGGGCGGGUGAGACGCACGUGGCUUACCUACCUAUAUGGCAUGGAUCACGGCGGGGAACCGGAACUAAUGCCGGAUAAUGGUUUGCGUCUGAUGGCGGGAGAGUGAGGGACGGUUCGGGUGUGACGGAUAGGUGGACCCUCGGGGUAUUAGCGGGGUGGUGGGGUAACGGCGCACCAAGGCAACGAUGCAUAGCCGAGCUGAGAGGGUGAUCGGCCAAACUGGGACUGUGACACGGACCAGCGUCCUACGGGAGGACGCGGUAGGGAAUCUUGCACAAUGGCCGAAAGUCUGCAGGAGCAAUGCCGCGUGAGUGAAGAAGGUUUUCGGGUCGUAAAACUCUGUUGUUAGGGAAGAAAAAGUACGUCAGUAACUGAAGGUAUCUUGACGGUACCUUAUAAGAAAGCGCCGGCUAACUACGUG
rnacentral:rRNA from 1 species